UACGUAGGGGGCAAGCGUUGUCCGGAAUCAUUGGGCGUAAAGCGCGUGUAGGCGGCCAGAAAAGUCCGCUGUGAAAACUCGAGGCUCAACUUCGAGCUGUCGGUGGAAACUUUCUGGCUAGAGUCCGGAAGAGGAGAAUGGAAUUCCUGGUGUAGCGGUGAAAUGCGCAGAUAUCAGGAGGAACACCGGUGGCGAAGGCGGGUCUCUGGGCCGAUACUGACGCUGAGGAGCGAAAGCAUGGGUAGCGAACGGG
rnacentral:rRNA from 1 species